rnacentral:rRNA from 1 species
GGGCGACUGAAAGGGGAUGAGCCCAGCGCAUAACCUCGCGGUCUUAUUGUGGCCGUCGAGGGGUGUUGCGUUUUGGUGGGUCCGUACCGCUCGAUUUGCUCACCGCCUAAGUCAUUGCUUGAAUGCAGCCCCAAGGAGGGUGGUAGGCCCGUGUGGCGGCGCCUGUAAAAAGGUUGGAGGCAAUUCGGGCGGAGGGAUCUUUACCAUAGAGUCGGGUUGCUUAGUACUGCAGCCCUAAGUAGGUGGUAAACUCCAUCUAAGGCUAAAUACUACCACGAGUCCGAUAUUUGACAAGUACCGUGAGGGAAAGCUGAAAAGGACUCUGAAGAGAGAGUUCAAGAGGACGUGAAACCAUUANAAGCUNAAACGGGUGGAACCNUGAAGGUGGAAAGAGGGGAUUCAGGUCNUGGGCGCGCNCCUCUGCNGCCAGGUGCAGUCUGUGAGAGGACCCGGCGUG